AGAUUGAACGCUGGCGGCAUGCCUUACACAUGCAAGUCGAACGGCAGCACGGGAGCAAUCCUGGUGGCGAGUGGCGAACGGGUGAGUAAUACAUCGGAACGUGCCCAAUCGUGGGGGAUAACGCAGCGAAAGCUGUGCUGAUACCGCAUAAGAUCUACGGAUGAAAGCAGGGGAUCGCAAGACCUUGCGCGAAUGGAGCGGCCGAUGGCAGAUUAGGUAGUUGGUGAGGUAAAGGCUCACCAAGCCUUCGAUCUGUAGCUGGUCUGAGAGGACGACCAGCCACACUGGGACUGAGACACGGCCCAGACUCCUACGGGAGGCAGCAGUGGGGAAUUUGGACAAUGGGCGAAAGCCUGAUCCGAAGCCAUGCCGCGUGCAGGAUGAAGGCCUUGGGUUGUAAACGUGUCGUUUUGUAACGGAACGAAAAGUCUACUUUACUAACUAAAGUAGGAGUACAUGACGUAACGAAGUAAUAAGACACGACUAACUAACG
rnacentral:rRNA from 1 species